AGCUCGUAGUUGAAUGUCUGGGAUUUGAGUCUGCCGCUCAGCGGCGACUCUGCCCGCCCCGCCGAAAGGCGCUUUUACUGUGAAAAAAUUAGAGUGUUCCAAGCAGGCCUAGCCUGAAUACCUUAGCAUGGAAUAAUAACAUAGGACUGUCUGUGAUGUUGUUGGUUUGCAUCCAGCGGUAAUGAUUAAUAGGGACGAUCGGGGGCAUUUCUAUUCAGCAGUCAGAGGUGAAAUUCUUGGAUUUGCUGAAGAGAAACUGCUGCGAAAGCGUCUGCCAAGGGCGUUUUCAUUAAUCAAGAACGAAAGUCAGGGGAGCGAAGAGGAUUAGAUACCCUCGUAGUCUUGACCAUAAACCAUGCCGACUCGGGAUUGGUGUUCGCCGCAGGGCACAUCAGCACCGUAUGUAAAAACAAAGUCUUUGGGUUCCGGGGGGAGUCUGGUCGCAAGGCUGAAACUUAAAGGAAU
rnacentral:rRNA from 1 species